CAGUAGCCGCGGUAAUACGAAGGGUGCAAGCGUUACUCGGAAUUACUGGGCGUAAAGGGUGCGUAGGCGGGUCUUUAAGUCAGGGGUGAAAUCCUGGAGCUCAACUCCAGAACUGCCUUUGAUACUGAAGAUCUUGAGUUCGGGAGAGGUGAGUGGAACUGCGAGUGUAGAGGUGAAAUUCGUAGAUAUUCGCAAGAACACCAGUGGCGAAGGCGGCUCACUGGCCCGAUACUGACGCUGAGGCACGAAAGCGUGGGGAGCAAACAGGAUUAGAGACCCCCGUAGUCCCUGUCUCUUAUAC
rnacentral:rRNA from 1 species